GAUGCAAAAAAUCGUACCUGUUGAUUUCCCGAACUUGAGGAUUGAGAUCGAGCACGAAUGGAGCCUUCCGGUACCUGAAACAAAGGCAACGAGGUGUGUCCUCGUCGCCCCUCCGAUGCUUAAGUCAGACGGGGAAAUUAUGUAAAAGCGUGUAUUGUAAUUGUAUUGUAAAAACAUACCUGAAUAAUGGGGCUAGGUCUUGUAUUUAUAGACGUUGGUGGUUGAGUUGUAGAAGGAUUCAACAAUUUAGAGUCCUUAUCCUCAUCAGAUAGAGUAAUUAAGUUAUAAGAGGACUACAACACGUAAAAAGGCUCGAGACGAGGACAAUAUUUUGGCAUAUGGGCCUGACCUUAGCGGGGCCAAAUUAUUAGGCCCGACUUCUAAGGGCCCGAUCACUUUUUAGAGGAUAUUUGAAGACGAGAGUGGUCGAGGUAUUGACCUCGGGCCAUGCUUGAAAGUUCGGGGUCCGCAAGUACCAGAAGAGUACGGAGCUUCUGAUCCGCAAGCUUCCCUUCCAGCGUCUUGUUCGCGAAAUCGCCCAGGAUUUCAAGACUGAUUUGAGGUUCCAGAGCCACGCGGUGCUCGCACUUCAGGAGGCUGCCGAGGCAUACCUUGUGGGUCUCUUCGAGGACACCAACUUGUGCGCAAUUCAUGCCAAGAGGGUUACUAUAAUGCCCAAGGACAUUCAGCUUGCUAGACGUAUCCGGGGUGAACGCGCAUAAGUCUCCGCGGAGUUGAUCGAUAGUUAAUUUAGGUUAAUUUAAUUACUAUGGUAUGAUUUUGUUUGAAGCCUUCUUUUAUUGUUAUAAUAUGUCCUGAGGGUAGGGCAUUGAUUUAGACAAUUGUUUGGGAUUAUCUUUUGUUCUUAUUACAUGGGGUUGUAAAUUAGCAGAUUUAAGUAAGAAUUGCUUUUUGCUCAUUUGUUUAUGCUAAUUGUUAUCUGCUAAUUAAUAUCAACAAUAUCUGCAAUCAAGGAUCGAAUUUUUUUUAAAAAAAUGUGAUUAUUGGGUUUCUUUCUUCCAAUUCUGUGAUUGAAUUGGUUUGGAUUUCCUAAAAGUGAUAAUUAAUUUUAAUUAUAUAUUAUUUUAUGGGAUUUGUGAUUUUUUAAUUACUUAUCAAAUUUUAUUAAAAAUUUAAUUUUGAUUCCCAAGAAUUUGUGACAUAAUACACAACAUUAAGCAUAAGCAAUGCUUGUUUUGGGUGCGUAUGAGAAUCUUAAAUAUUUUACAUUUUAUUUUAUACACAAACUAAUGAAGUUUUUUAUAAUCACACAUUCUACAAUAAUACUAUUUAAAACUCUAUAAUUUACAUGAAUUAGGGUAGGGUGUCAAACGGGGGCUAAGUAAUUAUAUUGGAAUCAGGGAGUUUGGAUUGACCAACGAUAUUCUAAUUAGGAAAAUGCUCCUCUAGCGGCCCUCUCUCAAUUCUCUCACCUCAACAUGGGUCCCGAAGCCAUGAAGAAUGUAGAAAAAUAAAAAAACCCAACUCCACCUAUGUGAGGGGUUGGUAACAUUCCUCUUUAGUGUUGGGUCUGUACGCCUAACAUGACUAUUCUAAUUAUUUUCACUUGAUCAUUACAGGGAAGGUGCAAUAAUAUCAGUAAAGUAAAAAAAUUUUGAAUUUGAUUCAUUAUACUUUCUGCAGCGUAAUAUUGCGUAGUAAAUAGGCACAUAAAAGAGUUUUGAUGGAUUUGUGAUAUAAACUAUGAUUGGUCGGCCAUAUAUCGCUUUGUAAUAAAUAAAGACUCUUUCUAUAUGCAAAAAUGCUAUUUGUACAUCAUUUUUUUUUUACAUCAAUUUUUACACUUUCCCACAAAGAUGGACUCCACCCACUUGCAUGUGUGUAUUUUAUGAAAGAAGUGCACUUGUAAAAUGAUUGUUCCCGUUUGGUAGGGAUUUUGAGAAUUGAUUUUUUGACCGUUAGAAGAAAAGUGGGGUCCACAUGUGAGAGAAGAAGUCAAAAAUUACGGCUUGAAUAAUAAAAUAACGGUCAAAAAAUUAAUUUUUUGGGGCAAAAAAUUCCUACCAAAUGGGGCCAUAAUGUCAAUUUGUACUAUUACUGUAUGAGUAUGUAUUAUUAGACUACUGUGUCAGUGUGUUUUUUGAAAGAUUAGAUAUCGCGCAUAGUAUGUUUAAAUUAUUGGUGCACUAAUUUGGCACUUCGUAAAAAAGCAGAUUUCUUGCUCCUCGUGGGUACAGUGAAUGCAAAUUAUUGAACUUUGCAAGGACUCCCAUAUAAAAGGAGACUUCUUCCUCUAUAUAAUAUCAUCGAAAGUUCAAAAAUAAAAAUCUUGAAACGUUGUCUUUGAAUUUCUAAACAGGCUAUUUCAAAUGUUUUGUAUGUUCUUAUUCAGCUAAUGUUUGAUACAUUUUGGAGAGAGGAAUCUCAACUACGUUACGCCUCAAUAUUUGAAGGAAUGAGAGAAAGGAAUCCUAACUCUAUAUGCAAUGAGUUCGUUGAACAGUAAAAUAUGUUGAUGUGAGUGAAUCCUAUUUUGCCAAUCGAUUCAUAAGAUCCCUAUUUCGUGAAAUCCUUGGUUCAAAAUUUUAUGUUGGGAGAGUUGAUCGGGCUUUUUGAUAAAUUUGAUAAAACAAUUGUAGGUUGGUUGUAUCAUUACUCUUUUGUCCCAUAAAGAUAUGUUUACCUUUCUUUUUCACACAUAUUAGUGGGCAAUUUAUCAAGAAAUUGAUUGUUGAAUUUGCAAUGAAGGAUUUACGACAAAUUCAUCAUUUUCUUGGAGUUGAGAUCACACCAACUACAGAUGGUUUACAUCUAUCACAGUUUCAUUACGCUUAGACCAUUCUUUAAAAACAAAAAAUAAAAAAAAUACCCAAAAAGACAGAUUGUAAACCCAUGAGCACGCCUAUUGAGGCCAAAACAAAGGGCCUUGCAAUUGAUACAAUGCUCUAAGUGUGUUGGAAAUCUACUUAAUCAUACGCAGUGAAAAUUAGAAUAGAUUUCAAUUUUCACCAUGGAUCUCUUCGUAUUUAGAUAGAGAAUGUGAUAGAAAAUGUAUUUUUGAAGAGAUCUGUAAACGUUUGGCCUUUUCUUUUGUUUCAGCAACAUCGAUCUGUCACUGAUGAUGCAAAAAAUCGUACCUGUUGAUUUCCCGAACUUGAGGAUUGAGAUCGAGCACGAAUGGAGCCUUCCGGUACCUGAAACAAAGGCAACGAGGUGUGUCCUCGUCGCCCCUCCGAUGCUUAAGUCAGACGGGGAAAUUAUGUAAAAGCAUGUAUUGUAAUUGUAUUGUAAAAACAUACCUGAAUAAUGGGGCUAGGUCUUGUAUUUAUAGACGUUGGUGGUUGAGUUGUAGAAGGAUUCAACAAUUUAGAGUCCUUAUCCUCAUCAGAUAGAGUAAUUAAGUUAUAAGAGGACUAAAACACGUAAAAAGGCUCGAGACGAGGACAAUAUUUUGGCAUAUG
rnacentral:lncRNA from 1 species